CACCCAGACUCCUACGGGAGGCAGCAGUGAGGAAUAUUGGUCAAUGGGCGGGAGCCUGAACCAGCCAAGUCGCGUGAGGGAAGACGGUCCUACGGAUUGUAAACCUCUUUUGCCGGGGAGCAACGGGGUCCUUGCGAGGGCCCGAUGAGAGUACCCGGAGAAAAAGCAUCGGCUAACUCCGUGCCAGCAGCCGCGGUAAUACGGAGGAUCCGAGCGUUAUCCGGAUUUAUUGGGUUUAAAGGGAGCGUAGAUGGGUUGUUAAGUCAGUUGUGAAAGUUUGCGGCUCAACCGUAAAAUUGCAAUUGAUACUGGCAGUCUUGAGUACAGUUGAGGUAGGCGGAAUUCGUGGUGUAGCGGUGAAAUGCGUAGAUAUCAGGAGGAACACCGGCGGCGAAGGCGGCUUACUGGACUGUAACUGACGUUGAGGCUCGAAGGCGUGGGGAGCAAACAGGAUUAGAUACCCGGGUA
rnacentral:rRNA from 1 species